CAGUGUAGGUAGAUAGGUAGGUGGGCUCACCUGUAUGCAUGUACGUGUGAGCCACAAGUUGAUCCUGGAUAUUUUCCUCCAUGGCUCUCCAGCUUGUUUUUUGAGCAAGGUCUCUCCGUGAACUCAUAAUUCAACAUUUGGGCUAGAAUGGCUGUGCAGCCAGUCCCUGGGGUUUGUUCCUCAUUGCAGCUAUUACAGACACGUAACAAUGGGCCCAGCUUUUACUUGGGUGCUGAGAAUCCAAACUUAUGCUUGUCAGCAAGUGCUUUACUGUCUGAGCACCCUCUCAAUCUGUGACUGCACUUUCGGUUUUUCUUCUUCAGUCAGUGUUAGGUAUGUGUUUUUCCAUCAGCCAGUGUUAGGUGUGUGUUUCUCUGUCAAUGUUAGGUGUGUGUUUUUCCAUCAGUCAGUGUUAGGUGUGUGUUUUUCUGUCAAUGUUAGGUGUGUGUUUUUCCAUCAGUCAGUGUUAGGUGUGUGUUUUUCUGUCUGACAGUGUUAGGUGUGUGUUUUUCCAUCAGCCAGUGUUAGGUUUGUGUUUCUUUUCUAUCGGCUCUAGUGUUAAGUAUGUGUUUUUCUGUCUGUCAGAGUUAGGUGUAUUUUAUUUUAAUUUUUUUCUUUUUCCAUAUUUGGUCUUCCCAUAUAAGAAGGAUUCGGCUUUGGUUUUUAAAACUUGAUCUGGUUGCUUAGCACACUUCUUCCUGAUGACUUUCCCAUUAGGACAGAUAACAGAGGAGAGAGAAGUGGAAGGAAGAAGGGAUAACUGACUGUACAUUGUGUCUCCUUGACGAAAGGGCAGGAAACUGAGUUCCCUGUUCUUUUGUGAGAAUGCACGAGACUGAGGACAUUAUUUCCAAAUAUUGUUAACCAAUUGCUGCUUUGAUUUCUAGCCACAGUCCUUAAUUCAAAUGAUAUAAUAGUAAAAAACGAAACUGGAAGGGACAUUAAUGGUCCUUUGGGAAUCUGCAAAGCUGAAGCCCUAGACUGAGAAGAGAGGGGCUCUUUGUCAGCGUGUGCCACUGACCAGCAGUCAGGCUGGACCAUCCGUUCAGAUCCCAGCACAGACCUCCUCUGUCACUAUUACACAGCAGCUUAUUCUCAUGGUCUAUUCUUCAUGCUUAUUUAAGCCUCCUAGGUGACCAAACAGCACAUGUCUCCAUUUAUGGUAAAAAUCAUCCAUCCCUCGGUUUCCUCAUCAUAAAGUCUGUUAGCCUUAAAAGGAUGCUCCCAGUAUCCCCCGUUACUGAAAACUCUAUUUUCUAGUCUUCCAAGUAUCAUAGAAGUUCUAAGUAAAUCUGAGAUGCCGUGACUGCAUCUCAUCCACAGACCUCUUGUGAUUUUAUUGUUUCUUAAUAAAUGUAACAAUCAUUUCACACAGACUUUAAUGAUUCACAGUAGCACAGACACUGUGUAUGUUAGUCCCUGUCACGGUAACAAAACGCCUGAGAUGACAACUAAAAAAGAAGAAAGGUUUAUGAUUCUCACUCUUGGAGGUUUCACCACACGCCCAUUGACUCCAUUCCUUUUGGAUCUGGUGAGGCCGGCAGGGUAUUAUGAUGGGAGCAGCAGGCAGAGAGAGCCUUCACCCCAUGGCCAGAGCGAAUGAGAGACAGACAAAGAGUUGAGAGUCCCCUAAUCCCUUCAAGGACAUGCUCCUAAUGACCUAGUUCACUUCCAGUCAACCCCAUCUCUUAAAGGUUCCUCUGUCACCCAGCAAUGCCACGGGCUGGGGACCAUGGCUUCAACAAAUGGGCCUCUGGAGGAGUAUUUAAGAUUUGAACUGUAGUAUAGUGUCAGGCACUUUCCUGGAGAGCAGUUGUUGUUUUCCCCCCUAUUCCAGAGAGAAACUUGGAGAUUUACACAGUUUUGUGCUUCUGUGGACGUUCAGGUGAAGUGAACAGUAGUCUAAGAGUUAAAGCCACAUGGUCUUGUUGCAGAGUCUGUGUCUUUCGACAUUGUGUGAUUCCCUGCACCUUGCUUCCUUCAGGGUCCUGUACCACUCCCUCAACGUGCAAUCCGCCUUUACAUACUUCCUCCUGGUCUGUUGUCAAUUUCCUAUCUCUUUACAGUCCUAAGCCCUGUUGAUUCUGAAUGCCAGCCCUGUCCUUUGUCUCCAAGUCCAGAUUUCUGAGCAGUUUCAGUUGCAUUGAACACACUGUGCUUACUGAUCCUCCUUGAUCCUAGUCAAAGAACCUCUUCCUGGCUUUCUUUCCCAUCUACCUGCCUGUAGUUCUGUGUAGAUGUUCGUGCAGGUGGUUCACAGUUCACUCAAGACAAGGUAGUCCCUUGGGUGGACAGUGGAGGGAGGGGAUCGUUAGAGGCCUUUUUGAGUUUUCUGGGAGACAUCCUAGCUCUAGGCCAGAAGUAUAGAGCUGAAUACUGAAGACGUUUUUGAUAACAGUUACCUGUAAACAGGUAAGAAGUAUUUUUUCCCCUAUGGAAAAUACCACACUUUUUUUUACAAGGACAGAUGGUAUCUUCUUCCCUUUGGGAAUUCAUGGACACAUUUUUGUCAAAAAGAAAGCUGAAGAGAUAAUAUUGGAAAGAGCCAACACGCUUUGUGAGAGGGCCCUCCAGCCUCCAUUCUGCAUCUGUAAAGACAGCCGUGAGGACACGCUCUUACAUACGAGAAAAGCAAGCCCACGGCAGUUUCUGUAAGUUCCAAUGACCCAGUGCAUCCAGCUACAGUAAUCGCUUGAAAAGGAAACCAAGACCAAAAUUUGGAAGGAAUCUCUCCCCACUCCCUAGUUCCAGCUGCUCGGCUAUCUUUGGUUUAAACAGUACUAUUUCUGUCAGGGUACAGCAUCUCUUUGUUUCUUUGAAGCCUGGGCUUUGCUUUGCUUGGAAGUGUUCAUCUGGUUUUCACUCCCUUCCUCUCUUAUCCAUAUUUUUUUUUGUUGUUUUCAAAUAAGCCUUUCACUUUGUACAACAUUUUUUUUGCUUCCCGAUAUUAUUUGUCUCUUGCUCAUAGGAUGUUCUUUGCCAUCUAAUUUUAGAUCACACAUAAUGCCUGAGAAGCAGCCUCUCUUUUGGAGGAAUAAACACCAUGGUUAAGAUGUCACUUCUCAUAAAUCAGCAUUGGAGAAGAUGAAGACAGCUGUGGUAGGGGAGCGGGGGCCAGGAACUCACAAAGUCUGACCCUUUCAAAGUCGACUUAAUCCUCCUCUUAUCCCUGUCUACUGCAGUCUUGGAGAGUGGAAGGGCCCUCUUUAACAUGAAGAAAUGAGCUUUUGCAUUGUUUGCCUUUGUCACAACAACAAAAGCUCUGGAAAAUUCCAAUUAAUUAGCAAGCCUUGGGCUAAUGAAAGAAUAAAACCGAAAGAGAAAUGCUCUGAGCUCUCAGAGAGGCGUAAGCAUGUGAGCACAAUGCCGAUUUCAAAUAUUUGGGGCUGUUUGUAUAAUUUUCCCAGGGUUGGCCUUCCUGAGCCUCACGGCGAUAAGACGCGAGAGACAAGAACCAGGAUUUGUCAGAGUUAGGCUGCAAUAACACGACUGGCUUUUAAGGACAGUAAGUGACCCACCGUCAUUUGAAGAAGGCAGUUAAAUGUGAGCUCACACGCUCAGGGAAAUUAAAACCAGAAAGAAGAGCUUUGUGCGUUUGUAUUUAGAGGAAGACACGAGGAUUAGGUCAAUGUGAAGAAGAUUAUGAAUUAAGUUUAAAUUUAAUUAUUAGGAAGGGCCAGGAAAUCGCUACACUAUUGUAGAACUGAUUGAAGAUUUGCACCUAAUAAGGCUACAGACAUGGGCGAUGAUGAAAACCUCCGAAAUCACUCCUUUGUUGUCUUCAUAUUUUAUGCAAAUUAUUAUUAUCAUUAUUAUUAUUAAUCAUCUCAUCUCGAAAUCACUACAAUCUAACAUACUGAUUGUGCCUGUUCUGGGCAUCCUUCGUCAUUCUUCAACAGCGCUGUUGAGACUGUAGACAUUCUGUGUUGAUGUGAUUAAAGAUUUUCACUUUGUGUUUGUGCUUGAGGAUUUUUUUCCAACUCUGCUUUCUUCAUGGAGAACAUGGAGGAUGACGAAGCUCCUAAAUGGCGGCUUACAUGGAUUAGUGAUGGAUCCAGGUUUGAAUCUAGGCAGCCAACUUUUGGUGUCCUCAGUCUGUCCUACCUUGCUAUGCUGGCUAUGGAAUACAGUUUAACUGUGACGGCAGAAAUCAGGCCAGAGAGGUUAGAUGCUACCAAAUUGAACUUGAAGCCCGUGAGUUGGCGGCUUUAUCCUCAGCUUGUUGUCUACUUGCUUCUAUCAUCAUGGACUAAUCACUCAUCAUUCCUGGCAUGUCUAUUUCUUGAACAAGCUUGUCCUUGGAUGAUAGCUAAGAUAUUUUCAGGUUUGAGCAUACCACCGAGUGAGGAAGCAGGUAAAUGAAAGAACUUUUGAGGCUUGAAGUGCUUGUGUACUCUUGAAAUGCAUUAGACCCAAGUUCUAAGCAUAUCUACAUUCAAAGUACUUUAUAUGGUAGGACUUGGUGUCUUUCUCAUGAUGAU